GACGAACGCUGGCGGCGUGCUUAACACAUGCAAGUCGAACGGAAAGGCCCUGCUUUUGUGGGGUGCUCGAGUGGCGAACGGGUGAGUAACACGUGAGUAACCUGCCCUUGACUUUGGGAUAACUUCAGGAAACUGGGGCUAAUACCGGAUAGGAGCUCCUGCUGCAUGGUGGGGGUUGGAAAGUUUCGGCGGCUGGGGAUGGACUCGCGGCUUAUCGGCUUGUUGGUGGGGUAGUGGCUUACCAAGGCUUUGACGGGUAGCCGGCCUGAGAGGGUGACCGGCCACAUUGGGACUGAGAUACGGCCCAGACUCCUACGGGAGGCAGCAGUGGGGAAUAUUGCACAAUGGGCGGAAGCCUGAUGCAGCAACGCCGCGUGCGGGAUGACGGCCUUCGGGUUGUAAACCGCUUUCGCCUGUGACGAAGCGUGAGUGACGGUAAUGGGUAAAGAAGCACCGGCUAACUACGUG
rnacentral:rRNA from 1 species